CAUUGACCUAGUACACGUACACGCAGAUCCAUCGCUCCUACUCCCCUUCCCUAUCGUAUCGCGUCGUCCUCGUCGCCGCCCUACGCCCCAACUACCUUGGUGGCUAGGGUUCCCAACCAACGCGCCUCCAUCCUGCACCUACCUAGAUCACCUCCUCCACUUGAAGCAUUCGUGCCGGCGUGUGGAAGGACGCCACGAAGGCGACUCGGGGGAUAGCGGCCUAUGCGGCUCGGUACAGUCUUCCCAUCCCCAACAACCAGCUUAGAGGUUCGGUUCGAGCAGAGAUCGCCGAAGCGAAGACCUAGAGUCGAAGCGGCCCAAAUCGCCGCUUGGCAGAUUCAUCUUGGUGGAGGAUGGACUCAGGAUUCGUCAGGGCCAGAGGAGGAUGCCAGCACCAGAUCCAGCAAGACCUAACUCAGAGGAAGCAGCGAUCAAGCGUAGCCGUCAGAUAGACAAUGACAAGGACGAGUCCAUGUCUUCGCCUACUCCCCCGCUGGACGUAGGUGCUGGCGCGCUGUGGGUGGAGGUGCUACAGGAGUGCCUGAGGUCCGCUGUCGACCUGAGCUUCGCCCAGGUCGUCGCUACCACUGAUAAUCGGCCUCCAGCCCACUGCUUUAGCUUUAGUCUUUACUUUUGGCGAUGAGUUGACGACUAGGCAACUGCCACCGCCCAAGGUCAGGUGCUCGAGUAUCCGUUGACCCCUUCGCUAGUCCAUUCCCCGUUGACAGCAAGCAUUAGGUAUGCCAGCCUCUUGACUAGAUUUUUAAAAAUAAUAUUACCAUUUAUAUGCUUAAAUAAGUUUACUGCAAAAAUAUAUUUUUUGAUUCAUCUACUGCUAUUUGUUUAGGGAUCAUAAACAUUAAGUUUUAUAUAUAAAGUUGGACAAACUUAAAAUUUGUGAUCUGCACGCAAGCCAAUGAUGAUUAGAUAUUACAUCUGGAAUUACCUUCAGAUUCGUUUAUGACGAGGCAUAUGCAUUAUACAUCUCCUGUUUUGGUUAUGUACUCUCUCAGUUUAAUCUGAUUAUGUGGACGUCGUUGUAGUUCAAUAAUUCCAAUAAGGAUCUCAAGACCUACAGUUAGGGAAUGCUAUUUGACAAUGUAAGUAACAAUUGGUUAUUUUAGUUGUAGGUGUCCAUCCUGCGACCUCUGGUUUGGUCUGGGAUGGAGCACCCAUAUGUAUUUGAUAGAUUCAACUAUGGUGUGUGAUUUAAAUUGGGUCUUUGAGUUGUUUUAAUAACAACCUAAAAUCUUUCAGUUUGUGAACUGUAAUAAAAUGUAACCUGGGCCUGAUGCCAUGUCUCUGUUUGUCUACAUAGUGUAUGGCGAUGAUGACAAAGCCAAGACUUGUUUCUUGACAUUUGCAGUAGCCACCCAAGAGCUUUCUCCCUGCUAGGUUUGAGAGCUAGUCCUACUAAUUCCUUCAUGGGAUGUCUGAGCCAUACAUAUUUCUGUUUUUUAGAUUUCAAUUGCAAGUAAUGUUCAAAUCAGAGCUUGUUUCUCUAUAUUCGCAGUUGCUGCUGUUGCUAUUGUUGUGUAUCCUGCAACUAGCAGCCCUCAAUCUUUAUCACAGGAUAUAUUCAUCGUAGUAAUCCAGCAACACUAUUUUUAUAUAGCAACUUGUUUGUCUCUUGCCAAAGAAAGUUAUUAGUCAAAGGGAGGGUUUACUAUGUGUUGAUAAUGGGCAUUUGGCUGUGCGUCACUAUUUUCAUAUAGUUAUCUUUGUAGCCAAAGUUUUAGACCUACUACAUGUACCUUUUUUGUUGUUCCUACACUUGAAAGAUUAAAUGUAUGUUUGGUUCGUGUCUAACUAUGCCACAAUUUGCUUAAAUGCCUGUAAUUUUUAUUUCCUAAAUAUGUCUUUUCAUGCUAAUUUGAAUACGCUAUUACGCCCAAUUACUAGAUCACGCGUAUGCUCCGCUUUGUAAACACGUAGACCACCAAUCCUACAUUGUUCUUGUUCUUCCUUUUGUGCUUUUACGAUGAUUUGAAUUGGUCCUUUUCAGAACAAUGCACCCCCAGUACCUAGUCCACUCUUGAGCAGUAUACGACAGAUACGUCCAGUACCCCCAGAUGAUGGACAAGGUACACCAUGACAGUAGAAUUUUUUACACCCUCAUUAUCUUGUUUUAAUUCAUCCUUUCUACGCUCCAAUUAUUUUGGUGAAUCUUAGCAUAGAACUUGACCUUCUAUUAUUUUGUAUGUUUGGUUUGCAUGGGAUAUAUUUAUGAACAUUGAUAUCGUUUUUAUGCUUACUCAUAUGGGAUAAUCUGAUCUUCUAACUAAAGAGAUUUUUCUUUUGGUAAUCUGAUCGUCCAACUCAAGUUUGCAUUCAGUUUAGACUUUAGGUUAUGUUAGCCAUAACAAGCUUGAAAAGACAUAUUAACAAAGAAAGAUCAUAUUAGCAGUUCAUGUUACGUUUGCAGGUAUGGACCUCGGUGGUUUUCUCCACAUUAGGAAAGCUGGAAGAGCCUUUUGAACUCAGUUUUUUUGCUAACAGUGGUGUUAUGGUGAAACAGAGUUUUGUGUGUAUGUACCAACAACUAAAAUGUAAACACGACAUUAUCAUAGUUGAGUACAGGAAUAAUUACCUUA